AUUGAACGCUGGCGGCAGGCUUAACACAUGCAAGUCGAGCGGAGCGAGGGUGCUUGCACCUUAGCUUAGCGGCGGACGGGUGAGUAAUGCUUAGGAAUCUGCCUAUUAGUGGGGGACAACAUUCCGAAAGGAAUGCUAAUACCGCAUACGCCCUACGGGGGCAAGCAGGGGAUCUUCGGACCUUGCGCUAAUAGAUGAGCCUAAGUCGGAUUAGCUAGUUGGCGGGGUAAAGGCCUACGAAGGCGACGAUCUGUAGCGGGUCUGAGAGGAUGAGCCGCCACACUGGGACUGAGACACGGCCCAGACUCCUACGGGAGGCAGCAGUGGGGAAUAUUGGACAAUGGGCGGAAGCCUGAUCCAGCCAUGCCGCGUGUGUGAAGAAGGCCUUUUGGUUGUAAAGCACUUUAAGCGAGGAGGAGGCUACUUAGAUUAAUACUCUGGGAUAGUGGACGUUACUCGCAGAAUAAGCACCGGCUAACUCUGUGCCAGCCGCCGCCGUAA
rnacentral:rRNA from 1 species